rnacentral:lncRNA from 10 species
UGAUCAGCACUUGGUUGAAAGAAUUUAGCUUUGUCUAAAGACAGUAGAAAGAAAUGCUUGAGUUAAGAAAAGGAAGGUUAUGGAAGCCAAGGUUCUUGUUAUGUAGAUGAAGCCUCUAGGUAGUAUUCUUCAGAGAGAAUAGAUGGUCAAUGUCUCUUUUCAGAUUUUAAAUAGAGUCCAACUCAGUUAAAUCUCCUCUAGACCUGGCAAAGACCUAGAAAGGGAAAGAGAUUCUAAAGAUGCAAAAUUUUACCCCACAAAAGGCUUUGCAGGGCCAUUUCAACAUAUGUCAGAUAAAUAUAUUUUGAAGUAAAGUGUGUUAAUUUCUUUCAGGGUCUGCUGUCAUGUGAUGCUAUACCAGAGUCAAGCUGGAAUUUGGCAUCUUAGUGCCAAAGGGUCUGUUUCAUCCAUGAAGGGAUGUCUAUUUUAAUGUUAAUGCUGGGCCUAGUAUGAGGUGAGUGCCUAGGCAUUGCCAUGUAGACGCUGUCUGAGAGAUGAAGGUCAUUCUCCAAGGAGCAGAGAAAAUGAGUAUCGUCCUCAUCAACCAAGCUACUG